rnacentral:rRNA from 1 species
UACAGAGGUCCCGAGCGUUGUUCGGAUUCAUUGGGCGUAAAGGGUGCGCAGGUGGCGGGGCAAGUCUGAUGUGAAAUCCCGGGGCUCAACUCCGGAACUGCAUUGGAUACUGCUUUGCUAGAGUACUGGAGAGGAGACUGGAAUUUACGGUGUAGCGGUGAAAUGCGUAGAUAUCGUAAGGAAGACCAGUGGCGAAGGCGGGUCUCUGGACAGUUCCUGACGCUGAGGCACGAAGGUCAGGGGAGCAAACGGG